UACGUAGGGGGCAAGCGUUGUCCGGAAUCAUUGGGCGUAAAGCGCGUGUAGGCGGCUAGAUAAGUCUGCUCUGAAAGCCCGGGGCUCAACCCCGGGAGGCGGGUGGAUACUGUCGGGCUCGAGUCCGGCAGAGGCGAGUGGAAUUCCUGGUGUAGCGGUGAAAUGCGCAGAUAUCAGGAGGAACACCAAUGGCGAAGGCAGCUCGCUGGGACGUGACUGACGCUGAGACGCGAAAGCGUGGGGAGCAAACAGG
rnacentral:rRNA from 1 species